GCAGACUCACUCUGUUUUGGGCCGUCUCCUCCGGCCUUGAAACUUUUUCUGUCUGCUAGAGCAUCCUGCAGAGCGCUCCACGCCAGUCUGUCUCUGUAGACCGACUCCAGGGUGUUCUGCUAUAUAUCU
ensembl:snoRNA Small nucleolar RNA SNORA77